CAGAGGGUAUAAGAGUCCUGAAUUGUCCGUGCAUGUGAGACGUCACCCAGUGGUACCGCCCUCCCGGCGACGCGGGUUUUUAUGAAUGAACGGAUAAUGGUUGUCAAGUGUGCUUCCUCAUCGCGGUGUAUGGCGGUGGUUGUAAUUUCCUGGACAAAUUCUCCUUGGUAACAUGUAGAUUACACCUUAAGGGUGUCCGCAACCAAAUUGAAUGGGGCGGAAUGUAAAUCGUCAGAGAUGACCGCGCUGCUGCCUUGCCUGGGUUUCAUUCACUCCAGUUCGGAUAUUCAUGUCUGAGUGACUAUGGGCGAAUUACGUCGUCCGGUGUUCCGGCUAUGGGGCCAUUUAUGAGGGUUGUGAAAGCACAUGAGUUUUUCCUCUGAUUGCCCCGUGGCUUGACAUGAACUGAUUACUUUCAGCUGUCGUUUUGUUUGUUUGUUUGGUUAUUUGUUUUUAUUAAACCCUUUGACUGUUUUUGUUUAUUUGUUUUGGCUAUUAAUGUUUAUUAUUCGAUUGUUAAUGAGUGUCUUGAUUUUGUAUUUUUGUUUUGUAUUGAGUGGGAAACGUAAGCUGGGGAUCGAUUACACAACUGGUUGAUAUUUUGCAGUGUUUCACUGACUUUGCUGUGGUAUAGUGUGUGGGGUGAAAACACGAUCCCUGCCUGCAGCCUCCACUUUACAAUUUAUUGUGUUUGUCCCUUUGUGUCCGGGAUAAUGAUCCUUUUAAUGUGUAAAAUAAAUAUUUAUAUUUUCUACUUUGUGUCCGUGUCCUCCUCGCCCCAUAUUUGACAAACGAACCUGUUGUGCCUUGAUUUAAUUUCCCGGUAUAGUCCGGGUGGCGUAGUCGGACAAUUUAAUUUGUAGUUUCCUUUGUACACCACCUUGCCACAUUUGGCGUAUAGUCGGCAGGAUUGUCAUAGUCUUGGGGCGAGUUGGAAUUAUUAUUAUUAUUAUUAUUAUAUUCUUUUCGUUUCUUUUUGGUUAAGUGUAUCAUAUGUUUUGAGUGUAUGAGUGUAUGUUUUUUUUUUCUUAAGGCAAGGCAGCAGUGUGUGUCCGGUUGGAAAAGUUCCAGUGAUUGGUGCUUACUACUUCAGGUGGUAAGUCGUUGCGGAAAAGGGGAAGGGAAUUACUCUUAGUUUUUAAUUAUACAGUGGUCGUGUUUUAAGCUGGAGUCCUUCAGUAUCUGGGGUGGAACCAGCGGAGAAAUUUUAAAGUCCGGGAGAAACUCCUGUGGCAGAGGUAACUAUGACCGCUGUUAAUGUGUUUUAGUGACGGAGUGGCAAGUUGUAGCUAGGGUAUUGCUGAAGCAGCAGUUGCCUGUGGUUUCAACUGAUAGCGGUAAGGAUUUAAUAGUCCCCCCCAAGCGUCAUUGUUCUGUCAGAUGGGGUCUCGCAGAAUGUGCGAUGGAACCACCUGGCGGAUUUUAGAGCGCAGGAGAAGUUCUUGCGGUCGGGGUUGCUCGUCAGAAGGGCACCGUUAAUGUCACUUGCGUAAAGGUAGAGGGAGGGCUAUAUUGGGAUUUUAGCUCCUUUCAGACGUUAUGUCUAAUUUGGGGUAGCUUGGUUUCCAGCCUGGCGAUUGAGACCCGCAGUUUAAGUAUUAAUCGUCGGGGCGACGAUUCAUAUUGUGGGGGUGGAAUGUAGCAGGAUGACGUAUAUCCUUGCUAUUGGUUGACGCAGGGUAAAACUGCCAACCUAUUAGAGUACACUUCAGAGGGUAUAAGAGUCCUGAAUUGUCCGUGCAUGUGAGACGUCACCCAGUGGUACCGCCCUCCCGGCGACGCGGGUUUUUAUGA